CAGAUAAGGAGCUUGCUCCUUUGACGUUAGCGGCGGACGGGUGAGUAACACGUGGGUAACCUACCUAUAAGACUGGGAUAACUUCGGGAAACCGGAGCUAAUACCGGAUAACAUUUGGAACCGCAUGGUUCUAAAGUGAAAGAUGGUUUUGCUAUCACUUAUAGAUGGACCCGCGCCGUAUUAGCUAGUUGGUAAGGUAACGGCUUACCAAGGCGACGAUACGUAGCCGACCUGAGAGGGUGAUCGGCCACACUGGAACUGAGACACGGUCCAGACUCCUACGGGAGGCAGCAGUAGGGAAUCUUCCGCAAUGGGCGAAAGCCUGACGGAGCAACGCCGCGUGAGUGAUGAAGGGUUUCGGCUCGUAAAACUCUGUUAUUAGGGAAGAACAAACGUGUAAGUAACUGUGCACGUCUUGACGGUACCUAAUCAGAAAGCCACGGCUAACUACGUGCCAGCAGCCGCGGUAAUACGUAGGUGGCAAGCGUUAUCCGGAAUUAUUGGGCGUAAAGCGCGCGUAGGCGGUUUCUUAAGUCUGAUGUGAAAGCCCACGGCUCAACCGUGGAGGGUCAUUGGAAACUGGGAAACUUGAGUGCACAAGAGGAAAGU
rnacentral:rRNA from 1 species